rnacentral:lncRNA from 1 species
AGAAGAAUGAUGACCUAUACAACCUCAGCAAAUCCUUCUUUUAACUCAUGGGUAUCCAGACUAUAAAUGUUACAUGAAUCACAACUAGGACCUCACAUCCUCCUCCUCGUCCAUAGAUGGGUAUGAUGCAUCCAGUUCAGUUUGUUUACUUUACACAAACCUCAGGAGUUAGUUGACUGAACUGCACAUUCUAUGUUGUGCCAAGCAAAAGCACUGUGACACCUGGACAAUGAGUCUCUAUUACUUCAUCCUCUACCAUAAGGACUUAGCUGGACACAAUGAACUGAUGUGCCCACCACUAUGUCAUGGCUGUAUUAACUCAAAUGAAGAUAAACUUACUGUAGAUGGUAUUUACAAGUGUCAACUUGAACUCAUCUAUUGCACAGAAACUUACAAAAAGCAGAAAAAAGAAAUCAAAGUCUUCCAUUGUAUAUAUUGUUAGGAGAAAAAAGGAAAAAAAGAACCAUGGGUGAAGUCUUCAAAUCAAAACUCUUCCUGGAAUGAAAAAUGUGGGUGUUUGUAAAUUCUGGAAAUCUUUCUAUACAUAAUAAACUAGAUACUGUUUUAUCUGCUUAUUUUUUU